ACGUCUCGGGGGCGGCUAGAGCGUCUCCUGCGCUCCGUUGCGCUGCAGGUGACGGCGCCCGGAGACUGUCGGGAAGUAGGCGGGGUGACGUGGGGUGGACGAGCUCCCGGCGGGUUUCCUGAGAGAUCCGUGGCCGCUGGCAGCUGGUGCAGGGGGCUGCGGACAGCGCUAGGCGCAGCGGGGCGGCGUGUGGCCGGGGCCAUGACGGGCAACGCCGGGGAGUGGUGUCUCAUGGAGAGCGACCCUGGGGUCUUCACCGAGCUCAUUAAAGGAUUUGGUUGCCGAGGAGCCCAAGUAGAAGAAAUCUGGAGCUUAGAGCCGGAGAACUUUGAAAAGUUAAAGCCAGUUCAUGGAUUAAUUUUUCUUUUCAAGUGGCAGCCAGGAGAAGAACCUGCAGGGUCUGUGGUUCAGGACUCCAGACUUGACACAAUAUUUUUUGCAAAGCAGGUAAUUAAUAAUGCUUGUGCCACUCAGGCUAUUGUAAGUGUAUUACUGAACUGUACCCAUCAAGAUGUCCAUUUAGGAGAGACUUUAUCAGAAUUUAAAGAAUUUUCACAAAGUUUUGAUGCUGCUAUGAAAGGGUUGGCAUUGAGCAAUUCGGAUGUGAUUCGACAAGUGCACAAUAGUUUUGCCAGACAGCAAAUGUUUGAGUUUGAUGCAAAGACAGCAGCUAAAGAAGAAGACGCUUUUCACUUUGUCAGUUAUGUUCCAGUUAAUGGAAGGCUGUAUGAAUUAGAUGGAUUAAGAGAAGGACCAAUUGAUUUAGGUGCAUGCAAUCAAGAUGACUGGAUUAACGCAGUGAGGCCAGUCAUAGAAAAAAGGAUACAAAAGUAUAGUGAAGGUGAAAUUCGAUUUAACUUAAUGGCCAUUGUAUCCGACAGAAAAAUGAUAUAUGAGCAGAAGAUAGCAGAAUUACAAAGACAGCUUGCAGAGGAGGAACCCAUGGAUACAGAUCAGGGUAGUACUGUGCUAAGUGCUAUUCAGUCAGAAGUUGCCAGAAACCAGAUGCUUAUUGAAGAAGAAGUACAAAAAUUAAAAAGAUACAAGAUUGAAAAUAUCAGAAGGAAGCACAACUAUCUGCCUUUCAUUAUGGAAUUGUUAAAGACGUUAGCAGAACAUCAGCAGUUAAUACCACUUGUAGAAAAGAUACUGUCAUAUGGGGGAAGGAAUCUUUAAUAAGUUCCCCAAGUGAUUCUAAUGCAACUGAUCUGUGUACCACAUUUUGAGAAACACUUUGAGAAGACACUACUAGGCAAAUAAAAAUUUGGACCAUUAAUUUAAAGACAAGAAUACAUGGCAAAAGAAAAACAGAAUGCAAAGAAAGCUCAGGAAACUAAGUGAAGAGGAUGCUCGGAGCUGUGUACACUCUGCUACUACACAUAUUUUCGUGGAAACCAUUGAGUAUAAGGAACUUUGAGCAACAUUCUAAUUGACUCAUGCACGUUUGGCAAUAUAGUACCAGUCUGUCCUGUCUUAUGCAUGAAUUCAAAAGCUUUUUCUCUACCUGCAUCAUGUGCAUGUAGUGUAUAUCAAAUAAAAGUGAUGUAAAAAGUU